rnacentral:lncRNA from 1 species
GUGUCGCAAGAAUGGAUAUCGUUACAAGUACAUUUACUGAAAAGAUGAGAUAUAUAAGAAGAGUUGGCUUACACUCGCCACAAGCUACAUCAGAGUCACAUCAGUACAUUACAUAAACAUCAAGAGUAAGAGCAGGGUCCGACUACGGACGAAAACAAACGACAAAAGAAGAACGACGUCCAUCCUUGCUAUCCCAGGCUGCCGGCCUGGAACCCAUCCUAGAUCGAUGAAGAAGAAGAAGAAGAAGCAACUCCAAAUGAACAAUCAACGUGCUCGCGUCAAGAAAUCUUAACGUGUACCUGCAACUGGUGUUGUAGUAAUCUGUGAGCCACAGGGGACUCAGCAAUCUCAUUUCCAAAGGUAUCAAGAGUAGCAAAGCUUAAUGGGUGAGGUAUGGUUAAGUGGUGAGGUUGCAGCAGCGGCUAAGCAGAUAUGAGGUGGCUAACUUACGAGUACCAGAAGUAAGAGGGGGGAAGAACUACGCAUUGCGGACGUGAACUACUGAUGAUCAAAAGAAUGAUCCUGAACACCUACCUACGUCAGACUAACCCCACCGUGUCCUCGAUCGGAGAAGGAGCUCACGAAAGAGACAAUCACGGUUACACACACAGUUGGCAUGUUUUAAUUAAGUUAUCUUCAAGUUAUCUAGAACCAGUGUUAAACAAAGUUUCCACAUUGCCACAUAACCGCAGGCACGGCUUUCCGAAAGAUUUAACCCUGCAGGGGUGCUCCAACUAGUCCAUCACAAAUUACCACAAGCCGCAUAGAAAUCCUCAAUCACGAAGCUCGCGAUCUCGUCGGAAUCCCUAGUGGAAAACCUCAACUCUGAGAUUACCCAAAGCAUCACCGGAAUCCAGAUGCACAAGAUAUCUCGUCAAAGGUAAAACUAAUCCAGCAAGGCCGCCCGACAUGUCGACGUACCCGAUAGGAGCCGCGUAUCUCG